UACGUAGGGUGCGAGCGUUGUCCGGAAUUACUGGGCGUAAAGAGCUCGUAGGUGGUUUGUCGCGUCGUCCGUGAAAACUUGGGGCUCAACCCCAAGCUUGCGGUCGAUACGGGCAGGCUAGAGUUCGGUAGGGGAGACUGGAAUUCCUGGUGUAGCGGUGAAAUGCGCAGAUAUCAGGAGGAACACCGGUGGCGAAGGCGGGUCUCUGGGCCGAUACUGACGCUGAGGAGCGAAAGCGUGGGGAGCGAACAGG
rnacentral:rRNA from 1 species